UACGGAGGUGGCAAGCGUUGCUCGGAAUCACUGGGCGUAAAGGGCGCGUAGGCGGGGAGGUAAGUCGGGUGUGAAAUCCCUCGGCCCAACCGAGGAACUGCGCCCGAGACUGCUUCUCUUGAGUCCCGGAGAGGAAGAUGGAAUUCCCGGUGUAGCGGUGAAAUGUGUAGAGAUCGGGAGGAACACCGGUGGCGAAGGCGGUCCUCUGGACGGUGACUGACGCUGAGGCGCGAAAGCGUGGGGAGCAAACGGG
rnacentral:rRNA from 1 species